rnacentral:rRNA from 1 species
GUGUCAGCCGCCGCGGUAAUACGUAGGUGGCGAGCGUUGUCCGGAUUUACUGGGCGUAAAGAGCGCGAAGGUGGCGCUUUAAGUUGGGCGUGAAAUCCCCUGGCUCAACUGGGGGCGGUCGUCCAAUACUGGAGCGCUUGAGGGUGGACGGGGAGAGCGGAAUUCCCGGUGUAGUGGUGAAAUGCGUAGAUAUCGGGAGGAACACCAGUGGCGAAGGCGGCUCUCUAGACCACUCCUGACACUCAAGCGCGAAAGCGUGGGUAGCGAACGGAAUUAGAUACUCCGGUAGUCCACGCUGUAAACGAUGAGCACUAGGUGUAGUGGGUAUCGACCCCCACUGUGCCGCAGCUAACGCAAUAAGUGCUCCGCCUGGGGACUACGGCCGCAAGGUUAAA